rnacentral:rRNA from 1 species
AAAGCGUGCGCAGGCGGUUUUGUAAGACAGUGGUGAAAUCCCCGGGCUCAACCUGGGAACUGCCAUUGUGACUGCAAAGCUAGAGUGCGGCAGAGGGGGAUGGAAUUCCGCGUGUAGCAGUGAAAUGCGUAGAUAUGCGGAGGAACACCGAUGGCGAAGGCAAUCCCCUGGGCCUGCACUGACGCUCAUGCACGAAAGCGUGGGGAGCAAACAGGAUUAGAUACCCUAGU